UAUAAUUAAGCGGAGGAAAAGAAACUAACCAGGAUUCCCUCAGUAAGGGCGACUGAAGCGGGAAGAGCCCAUGCUGCCAAUCCCUUCGGGGAGUUGUGCCGGGCGUGCCUGGCGGAGGUCCGGGGUUAAUUCCCUUGGAACAGGGGACCGGAGAGGGUGACAGUCCCGUCUUUGCCCCGGACUAUUCUCCGCGUGAAGGCCGUCCAACGGAGUCGAGUUGCUUGGGAUUGCAGCUCAAAGCCGGUGGUAAAUUCCAUCGAAGGCUAAAUACGGGAGGGAGACCGAUAGCGAACAAGUACUGUGAAGGAAAGAUGAAAAGAACUUUGAAAAGAGAGUUAAAGAGUGCCUGAAAUUGCUGAGAGGGAACCAUAGGUAAUCAGUGUGCGCACCUCGCUAUUUUUCUGCCGUCCUCCGGGACGGUGGCCCUGUGGCGAGGGGCCGCUCCGCGUCGUCGUCCGUCCUCGUACGCUUACGGAGGGGGGAUGCCGGGGCGGGGGAAAU
rnacentral:rRNA from 1 species